ACGAACGCUGGCGGCGUGCUUAACACAUGCAAGUCGAACGGAAAGGCCCUGCUUUUGUGGGGUGCUCGAGUGGCGAACGGGAGAGUAACACGUGAGUAACCUGCCCUUGACUUUGGGAUAACUUCAGGAAACUGGGGCUAAUACCGGAUAGGAGCUCCUGCUGCAUGGCGGGGGUUGGAAAGUUUCGGCGGUUGGGGAUGGACUCGCGGCUUAUCAGCUUGUUGGUGGGGUAGUGGCUUACCAAGGCUUUGACGGGUAGCCGGCCUGGGAAGGUGACCGGCCACAUUGGGACUGAGGUACGGCCCAGACUCCUACGGGAGGCAGCAGUGGGGAAUAUUGCACAAUGGGCGGAAGCCUGAUGCAGCAACGCCGCGUGCGGGAUGACGGCCUUCGGGUUGUGAACCGCUUUCGCCUGUGACGAAGCGUGAGUGACGGUAAUGGGUAAAGAAGCACCGGCUAACUACGUG
rnacentral:rRNA from 1 species